rnacentral:tRNA from 1 species
ACACGAGUUUUCCAAACUCGUUACGUGGGUUCGAUUCCCAUCGCCCGCU